GGUUCCGUGGUGUAGGGGUUAACAUGCCUGCCUGUCACGCAGGAGAUCGCGGGUUCAAAUCCCGUCUGGACCGCCA
rnacentral:tRNA from 1 species